rnacentral:lncRNA from 1 species
AAAAACAAUCCUCAAUAAUUUUAUAUUAAUUUUUUUAUUUGAUUUAAGCGAUUGGAAUCCCGGUUAUGUUAGCUCAACUCUCAAUUGAUGAAGGUGAUUGCAAAAUCGGUGAUUUGAAAACGGAGUCCUGCAAUUAUAGUUAUUGUUCGAAUACUAGAUGGGUUUGUACCGUUCUAAACUGUGAAAUUAAUAAGGAAUAAUUUAUUGUUGAGGUUUCUUUAUACAUGGAAUAGUGAAGAAUAGAUAGCGAAGAAGAUUGUUUAUUUUAAGUAUUUUAAUUAAAACAACAAUGAUGUUAUAAAACAUAUAAUAAAUCGUAAAGAAACUGACGUCAUUAAGA